GGUACGGGCCCACCGUGCCGAUAAUCGGUACGGGUCAUGAAAGUGAGAGCCCGGAGACGGGACUCUGAGACACGAGUCCGGGCCCUACGGGGCGCAGCAGGCGCGAAACCUUUACACUGCACGACAGUGCGAUAGGGGGACACCGAGUGCGAGGGCAUAGAGCCCUCGCUUUUCUGAACCGUAAGGAGGUUCAGGAACAAGGGCUGGGCAAGACCGGUGCCAGCCGCCGCGGUAACACCGGCAGCCCAAGUGAUGGCCGAUAUUAUUGGGCCUAAAGCGUCCGUAGCUGGCCGCGCAAGUCCGUCGGGAAAUCCACUCGCUUAACGAGUGGGCGUCCGGCGGAAACUGUGCGGCUUGGGACCGGAAGAUCCGAGGGGUACGUCUGGGGUAGGAGUGAAAUCCCGGUAAUCCUGGACGGACCACCGAUGGCGAAAGCACCUCGGAAGGACGGAUCCGACAGUGAGGGACGAAAGCUAGGGUCUCGAACCGGAUUAGAUACCCGGGUAGUCCUAGCCGUAAACGAUGCUCGCUAGGUGUGGCACAGGCUACGAGCCUGUGCUGUGCCGUAGGGAAGCCGUGAAGCGAGCCGCCUGGGAAGUACGUCUGCAAGGAUAAACUAA
rnacentral:rRNA from 1 species